rnacentral:rRNA from 1 species
GGACCCGCACAAGCGGUGGAGCAUGUGGUUUAAUUCGAAGCAACGCGAAGAACCUUACCAGGUCUUGACAUCUCUUGCAUAUCUUAGAGAUAAGAGAAACCCUUCGGGGCAAGAAGACAGGUGGUGCAUGGUUGUCGUCAGCUCGUGUCGUGAGAUGUUGGGUUAAGUCCCGCAACGAGCGCAACCCUUAUAACUAGUUGCCAGCAUUCAGAUGGGGACUCUAGUUAGACUGCCGGUGACAAACCGGAGGAAGGUGGGGAUGACGUCAAAUCAUCAUGCCCCUUAUGACCUGGGCUACACACGUGCUACAAUGGAUGGUACAACGAGUCGCUAACUCGCAAGAGCAUGCCAAUCUCUAAAAGCCAUUCUCAGUUCGGAUUGUAGUCUGCAACUCGACUACAUGAAGCCGGAAUCGCUAGUAAUCGCGGAUCAGCACGCCGCGGUGAAUACGUUCCCGGGUCUU